GAAAUGCGAUAAGUAAUGUGAAUUGCAGAAUUCAGUGAAUCAUCGAAUCUUUGAACGCACCUUGCACCCUUUGGCAUUCCGAAGGGUAUGCUCGUUUGAGUGUCAUUGUACUCUCACACUCUCUGAUCCUUUGGAUUCAGGGAGCGGUGGACUUGGGUGUUUGCUGCUUUUCCUUGUGGCUCACCUCAAAUGUGUUAGUGCACCUCUUGGUUGGACAUAGAACGGCGUGAUAAGUGUCUUCGCCGGCACCUCGCAAGAGGGUGGCCAAUUGGGAGCUCUGUGCUUUCAAACCGUCUUCGGACAAUCUCUGACAACUUGACCUCAAAUCGAGUAGGACUACCCGCUGAACUUAAGCAUAUCAAUAAGCGGAGGAAAAGAAACUAACAAGGAUUCCCCUAGU
rnacentral:rRNA from 1 species